UCGAGAAUCUUUCACAAUGGGGGAAACCCUGAUGAAGCGACGCCGCGUGGAGGAUGAAGGUCUUCGGAUCGUAAACUCCUGUCACCACAGAACAAGAGUAGUUGUAGCAAUAUCACAGCUAUUUGAUGGUAUGUGGAGAGGAAGGAACGGCUAACUCUGUGCCAGCAGCCGCGGUAAUACAGAGGUUCCAAGCGUUGUUCGGAUUCACUGGGCGUAAAGGGUGCGUAGGGGGUCGGGAAAGUCGGGUGUGAAAUCUCACCGCUCAACGGUGAAAUUGCAUUCGAAACUUCUCGACUAGAGGAUCGGAGAGGAAAGCGGAAUUCUUGGUGUAGCGGUAAAAUGCGUAGAUAUCAAGAGGAACACCGAAGGCGAAAGCAGCUUUCUAGAAGAUACCUGACCCUCAUGCACGAAGGCUAGGGGAGCAAACG
rnacentral:rRNA from 1 species